rnacentral:tRNA from 1 species
GCGGUCGUAGUUAAGUCGGUUAUAACGCCGGCCUGUCACGUCGGAGGCCGCCGGUUCGAACCCGGUCGACCGCGCCA